rnacentral:tRNA from 1 species
GGCCCCAUCGUCUAGCGGUUAGGACGCAGCCCUCUCACGGCUGAAACCGGGGUUCGAGUCCCCGUGGGGUCACCA